ensembl:snRNA U6 U6 spliceosomal RNA
GGGCUGGAUUCGGCAGCACAGAUACAAAAAUUGGAAUGAUUCAGAGAAGAUUAGCAUGGCUUCUGUACAAGGAUGAUGUGCAGAUUUGUGAAAUGUUCCAUAUUUUU